rnacentral:rRNA from 1 species
CCUACGGGAGGCUGCAGUAACGAAUCUUCCGCAAUGCACGAAAGUGUGACGGAGCGACGCCGCGUGGAGGACGAAGCCCUUCGGGGUGUAAACUCCUGUCAGGGGUUACCGGAGCCCCAGAGGAAGGCACGGCUAACUCUGUGCCAGCAGCCGCGGUAAGACAGAGGUGCCGAGCGUUAGGCGGAAUCACUGGGCUUAAAGCGUGUGUAGGCGGGUCGUUAAGUACCUUGUGAAAUCCCCCGGCUUAACCGGGGAACUGCUGGGUAUACUGGCGACCUUGAGCAAUCCAGGGGCGAGCGGAACAAGCGGUGGAGCGGUGAAAUGCGUAGAUAUCGCUUGGAACGCCGACGGUGAAAACAGCUCGCUGGGGAUCCUGACGCUGAGACACGAAAGCCAGGGGAGCAAACGGGAUUAGAUACCCUUGUAGUC